GCUGUGCGUCCUAUACCCUGGACUUCACCCUGGCACUGAACCUUCGCCCUGUCAGCGAGAGCCAAGUGGGGGCUUCAUUUCUCCUCUGUGCAGGCCAAGAGGCUGUCCUGUUUGGAGUGAGAUGUUGAAUGUCAACGGGAACCAACGAGAGCCUCACGGAUCUCCAAGCACAAAAAAAAAAAUCACACAGUCUGAUUAGCAACAAGCCUUGGAAAUACGUGCAUUCCCCACCUUGUCCACGUAGGUAUAGAAGACCCAGUCUGGAGAAAGAGAACCAUCCCGGAGUUUCUCAGAGAGUUCCACCAAGGUGAGAGAGAGGAUUGGGUCUGCAUCUACAUCAGGAUUCUGAGGGAGGAAUUAAACAUGAAAUCCACACAUCUAUACUUGUGAAGCGCCGGGAAACGCUGCUGCGGUCUCAGACAGCUGCUGCAACCUGCCCCAGAGACAGAUCUAUUUUGGCAGCACUUGCUGCCAUCUCAGUGUAUAAUCUAUGUUAAAUAAAACACCCCUUAAAGGUGCACAGUUAAGGCCGCAGAACAGCCAGGACGCUAUGGUUGUCAUACGCUCAGAACUUUUCAAAACCAGCCGCCUCUGGGCUGACUUUCCCCAUGCUUGCUGUCUGCCUAAAAAGCUUUUAAAAAGUUCUAACAAAGUCGUUUCUUCUGGUUUUGGAUGAUGGAAGGGUCAAAGCUAGCACAAUUUCCCACCCUGAAUUAAAA